rnacentral:rRNA from 1 species
GUGGAUUAGAUACCCUGGUAGUCCACGCUGUAAACGAUGUUCACUCGCUGUUUGCGAUACACAGUAAGCGGCUGAGCGAAAGCAUUAAGUGAACCACCUGGGGAGUACGAUCGCAAGGUUGAAACUCAAAGGAAUUGACGGGGGCCCGCACAAGCGGAGGAACAUGUGGUUUAAUUCGAUGAUACGCGAGGAACCUUACCUGGGCUUAAAUGUAGAUUGCAUUUCUGAGAAAUCGGGAUUCCUUUCGGGGCUAUUUACAAGGUGCUGCAUGGUUGUCGCCAACU